rnacentral:misc_RNA from 1 species
AAGUUGUAACAAGGUCUCCGUUGGUGAACUAGCGGAGGGAUCAUUAUAGAGUUGCAAAACUCCUAUCACCAUUGCGAACUUACCUUACAACCGUUGCUUUGGCAGGCGGCCCUAGGCUUCUGUUUUCAUAGAUCCUUGGGGCCCUAUGGCCUGAUUGUCAGGUGCCUGCCGGAGGUCAUGCAACUAGACAUUGUUUAUGGCCUGUUAGAAUUUGUACUACUAAUUAGUUAAAACUUUCAACAACGGAUCUCUUGGUUCUG